UACGUAGGUGGCAAGCGUUGUCCGGAUUUAUUGGGUUUAAAGGGUGCGUAGGCGGUCCCAUAAGUCAGUGGUGAAAUCCUCUAGCUCAACUAGAGAUGUGCCAUUUGAUACUGCGGGACUUGAGUGAAGUCGAAGUAGGCGGAAUUGACGGUGUAGCGGUGAAAUGCUUAGAUAUCGUCAAGAACACCGAUAGUGAAGACAGCUUACUAGGCUAUACUGACGGCUGAGGCACGAAAGUGUGGGGAUCAAACAGG
rnacentral:rRNA from 1 species